rnacentral:rRNA from 1 species
AAGCGGAGGAAAAGAAACUAACAAGGAUUCCCCUAGUAACUGCGAGUGAAGAGGGAAAAGCUCAAAAUUUAAAAUCUGGCGGCUUCGCUGUCCGAGUUGUAAUUUAGAGAAGUGUUACCCUUGCUGGACCGUGUACAAGUUUCCUGGAACGGAACGUCAUAGAGGGUGAGAAUCCCGUCUUUGACACGGACUCCCAGCAUGUUGUGGUGCGCUCUCGAAGAGUCGUGUUGUUUGGGAAUGCAGCACUAAAUGGGUGGUAAAUUCCAUCUAAAGCUAAAUAUUGGCGAGAGACCGAUAGCAAACAAGUACCGUGAGGGAAAGAUGAAAAGAACUUUGGAAAGAGAGUUAAACAGUACGUGAAAUUGUUGAAAGGGAAACGCUUGAAGUCUAGUCGCGUCGGUUGGGAAUCAGUCUUGCUUCUGCUUGAUGUACUUUCUGAUCGACGGGUCAGCAUCAGUUUUGACCGUUGGAUAAAGGUUGGGGGAAUGUGGCAUCCUCGGAUGUGUUAUAGCCUCUGAUUGUAUACAACGGUUGGGACUGAGGAACUCAGCACGCCGCAAGGCCGGGUACUUGUACCACGUUCGUGCUUAGGAUGCUGGCAUAAUAGCUUUAAUCGACCCGUCUUGAAACACGGACCAAGGAGUCUAACAUGCCUGCGAGUGUUUGGGUGGAAAACCCGAGCGCGCAAUGAAAGUGAAAGUUGAGAACUCUUCAGAGUGCAUCGACGCCCGGACCAGACGUUUUCUGACGGAUCCGCGGUAGAGCAUGUAUGUUGGGACCCGAAAGAUGGUGAACUAUGCCUGAAUAGGGUGAAGCCAGAGGAAACUCUGGUGGAGGCUCGUAGCGAUUCUGACGUGCAAAUCGAUCGUCGAAUUUGGGUAUAGGGGGCGAAAGACUAAUCGAACCAUCUAGUAGCUGGUCCUGCCGA